rnacentral:rRNA from 1 species
AAUCAACGCUGGCGGCGCGCUUAACACAUGCAAGUCGCACGAGAAAGUGGAGCAAUCCAUGAGUACAGUGGCGUACGGGUGAGUAACACGUGGAUCAUCUACCUCUUGGUGGGGAAUAACCCUGGGAAACCGGGGCUAAUACCGCAUAAGCCUGCAAAGGGAAAGCAGCAAUGCGCCGAGAGAGGAGUCCGCGGCCGAUUAGCUUGUUGGUAGGGUAAUGGCCUACCAAGGCAAUGAUCGGUAGCCGGCCUGAGAGGGCACACGGCCACA